rnacentral:rRNA from 1 species
GAUGAACGCUGGCGGCGUGCCUAAUACAUGCAAGUCGAGCGAACGGACGAGAAGCUUGCUUCUCUGAUGUUAGCGGCGGACGGGUGAGUAACACGUGGAUAACCUACCUAUAAGACUGGGAUAACUUCGGGAAACCGGAGCUAAUACCGGAUAAUAUUUUGAACCGCAUGGUUCAAAAGUGAAAGACGGUCUUGCUGUCACUUAUAGAUGGAUCCGCGCUGCAUUAGCUAGUUGGUAAGGUAACGGCUUACCAAGGCAACGAUGCAUAGCCGACCUGAGAGGGUGGUUGGGCCACCCGGAACCGGGACCAGGUCCCGACUUCCAACGGAAGCCACCAUAGGGGAAUCUUCGGCAUGGGGCAAAGGCCUGACGGGGCAACGCGGCUGAAUUAAGAAGGGUCUCCGAUUCGUAAAACCCUUUAUUAGGGAAGAAACUUAUUGGAAGGAACCGUUGCAAUCCUGACGGGAACCAAUUCGAAAGGCACGGCUAACUACGUG